rnacentral:lncRNA from 1 species
UUUUUUUUUUUUGGGCUUUUUAUCCUUAUAAAAUGCCAACAGUUACCUUUUCAUUUGUACAUGAAAUAGGUAAGGAUUCUGAAUAAAGUGGGUGAGCCAUAGUGUAAGGCCUGGUGCAACCCAAUGAGUACAAAUAAUUUCACAAUGAUGCACAAAGAUAUAUCAAAUUUAAGCACAAUAAAGAAAACUUAAUUAAAGAGAAAAGAUAAGAAAUGCAAACCAAAUAUCAAUCCAAUAGCCUCUUCAAUAGAUGGCGAUGCUAACCAAAAUGUACAAGUGAAGGCUCACUCCUUCCUCACCCCAAACACUCUUUGGUUGAGCCAAGGAGUUUUACAACUAUUCUAGUUAACCCUCAACAACCUACACUUGAAAGAUCACUCACCCAAUUAAGAACUAUUUUAUACAAAUGAGGCAACCUUCACCAAGGUUUUACCACUUCAAGUGAUAGGUUCACCUUCACCAAGGUUUUACUCCUCCUAGAGAGUAACCUUCACUUGAGCAACUUCACAACCCAACUUCCCAACCCCUUAUACAACCAACAAAGAAUCUUUCUACUCAAAAAUCUCACUUGUAAGCUUGUAUUUUGUGUUGGCAAAAGUCCCUUGUCUUCUUGUGAUUUUGGGUGUUUAUAGAAGGUGAGAAAUGGUUCCAAAAGACUCUCCAACGGUCAAAUAUUAAAUGCUGUCAAAACUAGCCGUUGGCCUGUCGGACGUCCGAACCACCUGUCGGACGUCCGAUCCCUGCGUCCAAACCACCUGUCGGACGUCCGAACCCUGCGUCCGAACGUCGUCAGAGAGUCAUCAAAUCUUUGCGAAAUUUCUCGUACGUCCGAUGCGAUCGAUGUGCGUCCGAGGCGUGCGUCCGAUCCUUCCGGACGUCCGAUGCUUCCUCACGAGCGUCCGACAGAUCCUUUCGGACGUCCGAUAGCUUCCUUUCGGACGUCCGACAUGAGUGCCCUGUUUUUGCUUCUUCUUUUGUGCCACAAGAAUCUGUUCUAACAAAUUGCUCACAUAAAAACAUUAGUCCAAAUCUACAUUUUGGUUUGUUAAUCAUCAAAACCAAGGAUUGAUCGACCAAGGUCAACAAUCUCCCACUUUUUGAUGAUGACAAACAAAAUGAAGAUUUCUUUUAUCAAAUAAAUUCAAAUAAAGCUCCCCCUUAGAAAGUGCCAACAUACAAAGAAAUUUCAAUAAAUCCUACUCCCCCUUUUGGCAUCAAUCAAAAAAUAAACUCCCCUUUUAUUUUUCAAAUCAAGACCAUAUUGAAUAUCAAAAUUUUCAAAUGUACUUACAACCAUUUAGCACUUCUUGGAUCAAAUCUUCAUGAUGUACCUAAAUAUGAGAAAUUUCAUUUGGUACCCUUUCUUUAUAGGGUCCUUGGGAGUUAAUACGACAUGAUCUAGCAAUCCACAUGGAUUUCAUGCCUUUUCUCAUAUUUUUCUUUACAUAGCAAUCAUUUUGCAUAUGUCCAAAUUUGCAACAAAAGUGACACAUGAUAGAAGUAUUUUGCACAUAAGUGGAUUUAAUGCAACUAAUUCCCUUACCUCUUAUCAUAGCAAACUUAUUUGUGCCUUGAAAAGAUUUUCUUUCUUUUGUUUGAGAAAACUUUUCUUUUUCAUUUUGGAGAAACUCGUUCAAGUCAUUAAUUCUUUUCUUUAACAAAUUUUGUUCCUCCAACAUUUUUUCAUAAAACUUUGUUUUCUCUUCCAACUUCUUUUUCAAAUUAUUUUUGCAAUCAAAAGCCAUUUUACAUUUCUUCAAAUCAUCAUUUUCCUUUUUCAAACAUUUGUUUUCUUGAAAAAGAUUGGAGUUUUCUUUCAACAAAGCAUUUAAUUUUGUUUUCAAAUCUUUAUUUUUAGCAUAAGAUUUUCUCAAACUUUUAUGCAUUUUAAUCAUAAGAAUUUUCACAUCAUCAUCUUCAUUAUCUUCAUCACAAGAAGAGUGACAAGAAUUUACCUCAUCUUCUCCAAAGGCCAUUAGUGCCAUUUGUGCCAACUCUUCUUUUUCUCUUUUUGAAUUGCAUUCAUCCCAUGUAAUUUUGCAAUCUCCUCUUGAACUUCUCUUGUUGAAGAUCUUCUUGAAUCUUUUGAUGUGAGGAGUUAUAUCAUUGUCCACUUCCAUGUUUUCAUUACCCAUGAAGGAUGGGUUAUCCCCCACUUGAAAUGCUUUAAAAGCUAUGCCUCUCUUAUACAUUCUUGCAUUUUCUUCCUCUUGCACUUUGAAUUUCAGCUUUAAUUCAUAAGAGGUUAGGGAAUUCACAAGAGAUUCAAUGGACAUAGAAUUUAAAUCAUUUGCCUCUUCUAUAGCAUUUAUUUUGUUUUCCCAUUCUUUUGGCAAGGCAUUCAAAAUCUUUCUAUUUUUCUCACCCAAAGAAUAUUCUUUUCCAAGCAAUUUAAGAUCUUCAAUAAUGUCACCAAAUCUACUACACAUCUUAUCAACAUUUUCAAGAUGAUGCAUUUUGAAAAAUUCAUAUUGAGAAACAAGCAAAGAUUUCUUUUGUUCUUUAAUAUCUUGGUUACCUUCAUGAAAUACACACAAUUUAUCCCAAAUAUCUUUAACUGAUUUACAACCUUUAAUCCUAUUAGAUUCAUUUACAUCUAAUGCAUUGUACAAUAUACACAUGGCCUUGGCAUUCAAAGAAAGGUAUCUCUUGUCUUUUUCAUUCAAUUCUUGUCUAGUCUUUAAUCUACUCAAAUUAGUGGUAGAGUCAACUAUUCUAGCUUCAUAAGGACCAUCUUCUACCACAUACCAUAAUUCAAUAUAAACGGAUUGUAAGAAAAUCAUCAUUCUUUGCUUCCACAUGCUAAAAUGAGAACCAUUAAACAUAGGUGGUCUAUCAAUAGAUUGCCCUUCUAAAAAGGAAACUUUUAUGGUUGCCAUGAUCUUUACUCUAAGCGGUUAAACUUGAUCAAAAGAGACCAAACUCUGAUACCAAUUGUAAGGCCUGGUGCAACCCAAUGAGUACAAAUAAUUUCACAAUGAUGCACAAAGAUAUAUCAAAUUUAAGCACAAUAAAGAAAACUUAAUUAAAGAGAAAAGAUAAGAAAUGCAAACCAAAUAUCAAUCCAAUAGCCUCUUCAAUAGAUGGCGAUGCUAACCAAGAUGUACAAGUGAAGGCUCACUCCUUCCUCACCCCAAACACUCUUUGGUUGAGCCAAGGAGUUUUACAACUAUUCUAGUUAACCCUCAACAAUCUACACUUGAAAGAUCACUCACCCAAUUAAGAACUAUUUUAUACAAAUGAGGCAACCUUCACCAAGGUUUUACCACUUCAAGUGAUAGGUUCACCUUCACCAAGGUUUUACUCCUCCUAGAGAGUAACUUUCACUUGAGCAACCUCACAACCCAACUUCCCAACCCCUUAUACAACCAACAAAGAAUCUUUCUACUCAAAAAUCUCACUUGUAAGCUUGUAUUUUGUGUUGGCAAAAGUCCCUUGUCUUCUUGUGCUUUGGGGUGUUUAUAGAAGGUGAGAAAUGGUUCCAAAAGACUCUCCAACGGUCAAAUAUUAAAUGCUGUCAAAACUAGCCGUUGGCCUGUCGGACGUCCGAACCACCUGUCGGACGUCCGAUCCCUGCGUCCAAACCACCUGUCGGACGUCCGAACCCUGCGUCCGAAUGUCGUCAGAGAGUCAUCAAAUCUUUGCGAAAUUUCUCGUACGUCCAAUGCGAUCGAUGUGCGUCCGAGGCGUGCGUCCGAUCCUUCCGGACGUCCGAUGCUUCCUCACGAGCGUCCGACAGAUCCUUUUGGACGUCCGAUAGCUUCCUUUCGGACGUCCGACAUGAGUGCCCUGUUUUUGCUUCUUCUUUUGUGCCACAAGAAUCUGUUCUAACAAAUUGCUCACAUAAAAACAUUAGCCCAAAUCUACAUUUUGGUUUGUUAAUCAUCAAAACGAAGGAUUGAUCGACCAAGGUCAACACAUAGAGAAAUGAAUAGUAUGUGAGAAUUUAACUUAUGAUUUCAUUAUAAAUUAUGUGACCAUAUCUAAGGUAAGGAAUUUGAAUAAAGUGGGUGGGUGGUUCUCAGGAAAUGAAUGGUAAGUGAAAAUUUAACUCAUGAUAUUAAUUAUAGAUUGUGUGUCCACAUCCAAACACCAUUUCAAGAUAAUUUAUUUUGAAACCAAAUAUAACAAUAAAAUCAUCAAUCCCAACAGAAUUUGUCAUCCUAAGCAACAAUUAAGUAGCGGAUACUAGAAAUAUGUUAUAUUAUAUUGAUUUAGCAACUCAAGUAAAACAAAAACAAAAACGAGUAACUUAGCAAUUUAAUAAUCAAAUAAUGGUGAAAGUUAAAUACCAAACUCAUAGUUGGGGCCCAGAUUAGUCGAGUCUAAUGUAGUCAUCAGACACCAGGUUUACACACACAAAAAAAAAAGGUACCUAUACUAUUGCUAGUAAUUAAUCAAUUAUGUCCCGCUGAAAAAGCCUUGAUCUAAUGGUUAAUCGAGAGUUUCUAGAAAUUAGAAGUUCUGAUUUUAAAUGCCCUACUCGCUUAUCACUUCUUAAGUCUUACCCCUCCAUUGCUAAAAAGAAAAUAAAAAAUAAAAAAUCAAUGCAGUCCUAUCAUUUCUUGUACUUAAAUUCUGGUAACAAGGGUUGAUUAGGAAGAAUCGAAUUUAUUAGGGAAAUGACAGCAUGUGCAAGAGUUGGAUAGUUGUUAGUUUUGUGAUAGGAAUAGAAAUUGUGGUCAUUAAGGAGGAAAGUUGGAAAGAAAUUGAGGUUAUUAAGGAGCUAUGGAGUUUCUAAAUCUUUUAAAAUAAACGGUUAAGGUAGAGGUGACAAAACCAUAUAUAAAAGGUUGGAUUGUUAGAAAGAGAUAAAGAGUUCAAGGAAAUCGAACCUUAAACAUUUUCAUAAUUUUCCUCAAGCUUUAACUAAGCAUCACUUGAAGAUUAGCAAGCUUUCUAAAAUUUUGAACAGUUUUAAGGAUGACCUGGAUUGAGCUUUUCUUUCAUGUAAUUAAAAUCAUUAUAUUAUCUGCAGCAUCUGAAAGGAGAACAGGCAUAUUGUUUUUCAUGCAAACAUAGCUGCAACCACCAUAAUGUCGAAUGCUCAACGUGUUAGAAACAAUUUGCGUAGUAAUUAGUUGCAGCAUAAUUAUUCGUUUUGACAAUUUUUAGCUAAUUUUGCUGUCCAAAAAUGGCUUACAUCUAUUUAGAAGAUUAAUCAUACACACACCACAGCCAAAAGCAAAGUACUUUCCUACGACCUGUUUCAAUGAAAGGUCAAGCUGUCAGACCCAUAACCGGUUAGAUCCCAAGUGGGGUAAAAACAUCCUGUAAGUGUAGCCAGAUUUACUCCCCCAACAUUUCACCAAGGAUUUAGGAAGGCACUGCAACAAAAGAAGCAAGGACAAGCACAUCAGAUUGGUUCCAAUUGGAAAAAUGGAACAUUUUAAAACCAAAAAAGAAGCAAGAAUUCUUAGUUUUCAACCUGCAAUUAAUUCUACACCUAAUUCUGUACAAUAACAUGCUGAUGCAGACAAUUCAUAACUUUGCUUGCAAACAAUUUUGCAACCGGAAAAUCUCCAGUAGACCACCUCAUUUAAGCAACUCUGAAACUGUCUCAUUAAAGGGAUCUACCUGAGCCAAUUGAGCUGCCAAGGCUCUGCUGGGCAGGAAUAGAUUGUCAGCUUUCAUUCUGUUGUAGAACCCAUAAACAGGAGCCGUGGCUUUAAUAUAGGCCUGAACAAGUGGUUGGUACUGUCGGAUAUGGGUAGAUACCCCACCUUUCUCAUCCUGUGGAACAGUUUCUCAGUUUUUUGUACAUCACCCCUCUCUGCAUAGUGAUCCAUAAUGGUCAUGUAAGAACUUAACAUUGGCUUCAUUUGAUUCUGUUCUGCAACCUUCCGUAAAAUGGUGUCAGCCUUUUCAGCGUCACCAGCAUCAACUAGAAACUUAACAUGCGUAUCCCAAGUCAGUGGCCCUAUAUGGCAGUUACUAUCGGCCAUCUGCUACACAAGAUUCUUUCCUUUGUCCGACAAUUUGUGAUUUGCAUAAACUCCCAGUAGAGCAGAACAAUGCUUUGAGGACAGCUUACUCCAUGCUGUCAACAAAGUAUCAAACACUGCUUCUGCUUCUUCAAUUUUGUUUAGCUUUCCCCAAGCUUCAAUGGCUACCAAGCAUUCCAGAGGCCGUGGUAUAGAUUCACAAAUCUUCAAGAUUCUUUCCACUUCAUUAGAUUUUCCAAGGGCUGCAUAUAUAGGAAGUAAAGAGCGGUAGGCCCAACGAUUUUUCUUUACAUUCAUCUCCACAGAUUCUCAGCUCUCUCUUUCAGCCCACUAGAGAUGUAAUGCUUAGCUAACAAGUCUUUUAUAGUAAAAUCAGGUUCUAAACCAUCAUCCUUCAUUGUCUCAACUAUGUUCUCCAUGCCAGUGAUGUCAUUUGAUUGACCUUUGACAUCUAUCAAUUGUUUGUAUGUGAAUAGAGAAGGCUUUACCUUAUCCUUCUCCAUCAACAAUAGAACAUCAGCAAUUUUCUUCUUGUCUGACCUCUUAUACAAAAAAAGCAACUGAUUACAAGCAAUGUUUGUAAUUGGGAAUCCCAGAUCCUUCAUCUCAUUGAAAACCUCCUCAGCUUUCUGCACAUUUCCUACAGGAACACAAUUGGCUAAUAGUGUACGAUAAACAACUUCACCUUGGAAGGAUUUUGGGAUAUUUGCAAUAUAACUUUCUGUCUCCUGAAGACCAUGCACUUUGGCAAUCAAAUCAACAUGAGAAGCAAAAUCUCUCUCACCAAACUCGUGGCCUUCCAACUCCAACGACUCUGAGAACUGUCCAAUGAAAAUAAAUAUGUGAAGUGUAAAUAACUCCAGAAGCACAAAACGAACAUGAAACAGAUCAGGUGAAACUCUAUAAGCAUGUGUGAAUUAGACAUUGUAACAUCUGUACAUGAGUAGUUGUGAAUCUUUCAAGAACAUAUGCUAGUGUUAUCAAGAAGCAAAGUUCCUACAAAAUUGUUGCUGUCCUAUUGGCAUAUGGGAAAAUAGACAUGGAACAUUUGGUUAUAAGCAAAACUUUCUUCUACCAUGUAGUUCAGAACCUCCCAAUAUAUCCAUGUCACUGUCUUGUCUAGCACUUACAGUUAAAACUGGUCCACACAGCUCAACUAAUAGUAUUAACUCUUGGAAGAGUACCAUCUCCCUACAGUUUCACAUAUCUAAGCUCAAGCAUCAGUGUAAACCACUCCAUAUUGGUGGCUCACUGCAUACGUGACAUGCCAUAAACAAACCUCAACCAUACAGGCAAAUAAGAAUGCACUUCAACCAAGAAAUUACCACUUUGCUAGAAUGUUUAUUCUGCUAUUUAACCUCAAAACUAUACAAGCACAAUAUGUGCAUCAUUUGGGGAGAUUGUCCUUAUUCGGAUGAACUAGAAUACAAUAGACUCCCAUGGUUUUCAAGGUUGAGUUCUUAGGAUGCGCACAAUAAAAAUGACAUGCUCAGAGAAAGACAAAAAUUACUACCCAAAUAUCGGAUUAUCUAAAUUCUCCAACCAUUAUUGGACUAAGGAACUCUAAUGACUAAAUAAUCAACAAGAAUUUGGUAUGGUCAAGCAUAGCAUCUUUACUUUCAAAAAGAACAGAAAAGGAAAGAAAAGGACAACCAAAAAGAAAGAAAUAAAAGGGAACUUGGCCAUUGACAGUCAAGGAGAACUUCAGUAUUAAUUUGUUCUAGAAGGAUUUAACAGAACUUAGAGGUUUGGAUGCUAUUGGCUACAAUAUCCAUCUCUUGACCGGUUAUAACUGUGCCAAAACUCACUAGAAUUUCCUAGUCAAAAACUUUCUAACUCAGUUAGCCCGAGAUCCAUUCUUAUUCUGUUUUUAUUUAGACAAAUCAUUGUUUACAAUGACAACAGUAAACCCAUAUGAUGGAUGAAUGAAUCAUCACAACCAUGAGAAUGCAAGGUGUCUUGUCUGAGCAAGCACCAACUUUUUGGUUGACUUAAACAAACCCUGAGAAGAAGCUAGAUAACAGCCUCAUGUUCUAUAACAGACCUAAAGAUGCAAAGAGAGAACUUCCAACCUCCAAAUAGACAGGCAUCAGCUUUCCGCACAAAGAGAGAAAACUCUUUCCAGUUAUGGAAGUCAAUGCCUUAAAGAUGAGGACCUCUCUCACAGUUAAGCACUCAAAAUAUCAAUAUCCAGAGGAAGCCACUAUUGAAAGGGGUACAAGAGUACAUACUAGAUAUCAUAAAGGCUUCAAAAAUAUAUUCUAAAUUCCAAUUUGUUACUUAAGCAGAUUCUACCGCUCUAAUUAUUCUUCAAGUAAGCUGAUUCUCUAUUUUUCCAACCAAAUGCAAUUAAAAUGUUAUCAAUUGCUUCUCAUGUAUUUUUUUCAGCUAAAUGUAAGAUUAUACAAAAUGCUUCUAAGCAUCCAGACACAUCAGAUGCCUAUCAAACAUUAGUGUUUUACAAUAUUUUGGAUAAAUAUAUAGUUUCAAAUUCUUAAAGAGUUUUUUCCAGAAAUUAUGUUUAUUAGGCAACUCUCCAAAAGCUAAAGCACAAGAAACAUCCUCAGAUUAUGACCAUUAAAAUACAGAAACAUAAAAACAGUAAAAUUGAGUGUAGCUAUGAAUAUCAAAAGUAGAAUCAAUUUUGCAAAUAUUAAUGCUGAAUCUGGUAAAUGAUCUACAGCACCACCUAUGAGACUAAAUUACCUCUAAAGCGCUUUCAAACAUCUGUCUCUUGUGCAGAUGGAACGUGGUUGAUGCUAUUACUGAUCGAGUUACUUCAUUUCCUUCUUCAAUCCAGUGGUCUACAACCUCAUGAACAGAUAAAGCUGGAGCAGCCAAUAUGGCCUUGCACAAUACGGAAGAAAGUUGUUUACUGCAGAGUUCUCUUUCCAUCAUCAGUCUCAAUACCAGAUACCCCCAGCUCAUUUUGAGGCUUGGCCUCCCCAAUAUUACCAGCAUCCUCUUCAGAGAGUUCUGAUUCACAGAUUAAAUCAUCCUCAUUUUCAUGAACUGCAUGGCUUUCAUUAAAGAGAUCAGAAGUAGUUGAAGUCCCAAACUCGGUAAACCCAUUCUCCAAGUCACAUCAUCUUGUCCACUACUCUCAGUGCCAGCCUGAGAAGUGAAACUGCGGGUUCCUGAAAGUAAUUUUUGAGAAUCACAACUUGCGUUGAAGAACCAUGUCGGAGACAGAUAUCUACUGGAUAUCAUUUGUUGAGAUCCAGUAUAACCUGAAUUGCAGUUCUCCAAUGCACACCUUGUUGUCUCUAAAUCAUAGCAAAAUAGGGAAAUCCUCGCUCCAAAUCUGUGAUUCCUAGAAGACACGGUAAACUUGAUCAACAAUGAGUACAAACAAAAUACAGUGGACUAUUAAGUAAAUGCAGUCAAAACAAGUAAUCCAGCAAGUUUUCUUUAUGAUCAAAGCCAUUGAAGCUCAACAUGAUGCAAAAGGAAUAAAUAGAUAAAUAAAAGAAAAGCACUAAUAAAAUAACAUCUGUAUGAACCUAUUUUCACCUUUCUACAAGUUAAAAUCCUAAACAGAUACAGCUAAGGACUUUAGGCUCCCAUGUUAGCCCCCCUUCCCCAUAUAAAAAUAAAUAAAUAAAUAACUUCAUGUGCAUUUCCCAUCUAGCACAUUCUUGGUGAUUUAUAUUACACCCUAAUUUAUACUAUCGAUUCAUCAGAUGUGACAACCAACAUCUAUUAUGAAAGGAAAAGUAUUGUAUGCUAAUCCCAAGCAUUCAAUCAAUUUAACUAGCAAGAUCAUGUUGCCUCUAAAGUUGCAGCUCUCUAUACAUGUAAUGGCAUUAGAGGACAUCACUUUGCAGUAAUAACAGAGAACUCAUCCAUAUUAGGUGAAAAUGCCUUGUACUUUCUGCAUCCACAUUUUGGGGGCACAUUACAGGUUUAUAGGAAAAAUUCUAGUUGGAUCAACCGAACCUCCUGCUUCAUUAAAAAAUUUACUUUUUUCAGUUUCUCUGAUCAAACCAGAACUUAGCAAAGAACCAUGUAUAGAAUCCACAUUUUUCUUAAGCAGAAAAGUUCAAUUAAUCAGAUAUCCGCUUAUAAAUAUAAUGCAAGAUUAGAGCACUAAUGGUGAUAACAAAAGUGUACAUUCUUGUUCUCUCAUUCUAAAAAGGAAUAUUAGUAAGAUAAUAACAUCUAACCAAAAUCAAAAUCCAGAAGGAAAAUAGUCUGACUAAGAAAUUGCGGCAACCUAGGAAUUUAUUUUUAUCAGUGAAAGUACAUUCCUUCCAUUUCUUCACAUAAUUUAUCUUCUUUUUCAGAAAUGGACAAAAAGAAGGGGGGAAAAAACCUUUUGUCCCAUCUCCAACUAUUACUAGUUCCAGCUUCUAUCAUUCCAAAAAUCCUCUCCUAAAUUUGUUUUUCUUUCAAAAACCAAAACAAAAAUGCCACCUUGAAAAUUACGAGUUAAAUUGCAGAAUCAACUCUAUGGUUGCAAUCAGAGUCCACACAUCAAAACACACAUCGUAAAUAUUCUUCAUAAAGGGUUGAAAAAAGGGGAAAACAAACCAAAAUUUCCUAAAGAAAAGGGCAUUUCUUGAGCCCUUUACUACCCAUGAAAGGAAAAGCAAAAAGAAAAAAUAAAGGAAAACAUGUAAAAGAAGUGAAAAAUGCAUAGAUGAAGAAAAGGGAAGAUUACCGGAAAGGAUUAAAGGCUCGACGAAGAGACAACAUCAUAAUGAUUUCUUUCUUCUCUUCGGCCUUGAUCUUUCGAGGGCUGGCACAUGUAGAAAUGAGUAGACUGUGAGAGAGUGUGUGUGAGCAAAAGCGUGGAAUCUUGAUAAUGCUUAAACCCUGCGAAAAGGGGAAGAAAAUUAGCGCCACUGAUGAACGUGUACAUUGUCGAAGAGAAAUAUCAAAUUUCUCAACUGAUUUUCAUAAUCCCCGAUCACUAACAAUAUCAUUUAAAUUCAAUUCCACGCAAGAUUGAUUUUGAACUGGUUCACUAAUAUUAGGCUCAUUUGAAGAUUCACCACUACAGACUCGUUUAGGUUUAAAGAAUCUCUCCAUUUUCUGUCACAAUUAAAUAAUUGUGGUUAAAUUCAAUAAAAUUAUGCAAUUCAAUAAUCAAUUAAUUUAAAAUUCAUAUAAAUAAUUCUUUAAUUUAAUAAUAAAUUCAUAUUACUUAUAUUUCUCAAUUUAUAAAAUUCAUUAUAUAAAAUUAUCAAAAAGUUAAAAUAAGGUACAACUAAAUACCCAUAUAAUCUCUAAUUCAAUCUCAUAAAAUUUUGAAUUUAUAUUUACAUUCAAAUUUCUAAUUCACAUAAUUAAUUCUUAAAAUUUCAAAUAUAAAACUAACAAAAUUUUAAAAACUAAAUACAACCUAAAAUCUAUACAAUUUCUAAACUAAUUUCUAAUUUAAAUUUAAUAUCAUUAAAUUUUUUAAUGUAAUCUUUCAAAUUCUUAAAUUACAUUAACAUAAACUAAAUAAAAAUUAAUCUUAAUCAAAUUAAUAUCAAGAUACUCAAAAUUCAAAAAUAAUUUAAACAUAUAAUUAACAAAAAUAUAAAGAUGAAUAUUGUAAUUUAAACCAAAAAACUAACCUAAAAGAUUUAUGUGAAUGGAAUGGUGGAGAGUUGGAGUCUUGGAGCCUUGAAUUGAAGGCUUGAAGCAGGAUGGUAGAAUCUCAACUGAAGCUUCUUGGAGUUCUUGGAGCCUGGCGUCUUCUUCUUGGAGUUGGAGUCUUGUUUGCCCUUUGGCACUGGCGGCGUGCUUUUGUAUCAGAUGAAGCCCUGUAUUUUUUUUUUCCCCCUCAUUAUACAAAACGACGUCGUUCCACUAAAAGUGAAACGACGUCGUUUUGUAUUUAGAGGGCAAAAAAAAAAAUUCAAAAUGAAAUAGGUCAUCUUCUUCCUCAGCAGUCAGCACGGCAGCGGCUUUCCAGCUCUUCUUCGCUUCCUCUGCAGCAUUCAUGGAGCCAUGGAGGAUGGUAGUCGGUAGAUCUGGAUCACCGUGGGGGGGCUGGGCUGGGCUGGGCUGGCCGCCGGAAUCCCCUAUAUAUAGGGGGUUUUCCGGCGGCUUGGGGGGGGCUUAAGCCCCCACCAACCCCCCUUAAAUCCGUGGCUGUGUACAUACAUAUUGCGCCUUCAUACCCAAAAAAAAAAAAGCUAACUCAUCAACAAUAAAAUGAAUACUAAUAUCAAAUUGUAUUAUAACCAAUACACCUCAUAGGGUUUGGAUCAAACUAUAGAAUCCAAACUCAUUCUCAGGUCCACAUUUAUGUGGAUGGAAAAUGAACACUCUCUAAAUUAUUGAGAAUUUUUUGUUUUGAUUCAUUUUAAUUUGGAUUGUUACUCUAUUUUCAAUGUGAUCAAUUAGAGUUUAGGACUUAUACUUAGGAUAUUUGUAUGCUUGGAAUGGAUUGAACAAGUUUUAUAACCGGUAAUGAAUGGGUCUAAUUGUGAUUUGUGUCCAAAUUGAUGCAUUUGAACAUGUGAUGGACAAAAAUUAGAAAUUCAUCGACUUUGCAAAUCAUUAGGCAAUAAAGGCGAAAUGUGAGAUUUAACUUUUUAUAUUAACUUUUUUUAUUUUAUUUUUUAAUUAAUAUUUUAUACACUGAUAGUGUACACACCAUCACCGUUGGAUGCAUGACAACUUAUCUAAAUUUAAAAUUCAAAUUCAAAUUUUGUUCAUGUAUUAUGUAUCCAACCGUGAUAGUAUAUACACUAUUAAUGUACGUAAGAUUUACUCUUUAUUUUUUAGCAAAGGAAGAGUGAGAUUUACAUGGUCCUCUGGCUUUCUUUCCCUGGUUUACCAGUACCUCUGUCUUCAGUAAACAAUGUUGCAUUGAUCCAUCUAACUCUACUUUGAGGUCAAUCAAUAAUAUUUUACAUUCACAAUUAGCCAACAAUUAACUCGAUUGCCAAGAGGAAAAGGCAAUUUCCAUCACCAUGGGGCCUAGUUGAUGAAAGAGUUCAAAGCAUGAUAUAUCAGUAUCAAGGUGAGUGACUAUUAUUUACACCACAAAUUAUCAUUAACAUGCCCAAAAUUCGUUCAGCUUUGAAGCUAGUUGAUGCAAUGAGAUGAUAUGAUGAAUUAAGUUGAAGAUCAUACACACAAGAAUAACACUACUAUUAUGGCCAUUAUCAGACCUAUUCAUUGUCUCAUCUCCCUUUAUACCAUCUUCCAUUACCUGUCAAGCUGUGAUCCUGCAGAGAUUAUGCAAAU